rnacentral:lncRNA from 1 species
GGGUCCAGCUCAUUUCAUUUAGUAUAAUGUCGUCCAAAUUUAUCAAAUUGUUGCAAAUGGCAAGACUUCCCUUUUCAAGGCUGGAUAAUAUUCCAUUGUUGUAUUUUUUUAGGUCUGUCCAUUUAGUCUAAAUUUUAAAUUUAUUUAUUUACUUGAGAUAGAGUGAACGAGUACAUGAGUGGAGGGAGGGUGAGAGGCAGAGAGAGAGAGAGAGAGAGAGAGAAUCUCAAGCAGAGUCCAUGCUCAGCACAAUGUCCAACACAGGGCUCAAUCUCAUGACCCAAGAGAUCAUGACCUGAAUCAAAACAAUAGUUGGAUGCUUAACCAACUGAGCCAUCCUGAUGCCCUUAUUUUGUUUAAAUUUAAAAAUUUAGAGCAAAAUUAUGCAUGAUAUCCUCUUGGUGUGUUAGUGUUUACAGUUUCUGAUAUACAUUCUUUUGAGUGCUAUUUCUCUCUCUUUCUGAUUCUCCAGAAAUUUUACUGAAUGUUACCUAGAAGUGAUUAUCUUUUCUCAUUUUGUUUGGCAUUCAUAAGGUCUCUGUGAUUUGUUAUAUGUUGUGAUCAGUUCUGGAAAAUUCUUGAGAAUUAUGUCUUUCAAAUAUUGUUUCUGCUUCAUUUUCUCUAUCCCUUUCUGGGACUGCAGUUACAUAUGUAUUUGAUCAUCUUGCUUUGUCCCGUUUAUCUCUUCUGUAUUUAACAUAUUUUAUUUCUCUUUGCUUCAUUCUGGAAAUUUCUUACUAACCUAUUUCAAGUUCUUUAAUUAUUUCCUUAGUAUGUCCAUUUUAUUAUUAAACCAAUCUAUUACAUUUCUAACUUUAAUGUUUUUUAAGUUCUGGAAUAUUCAUUUAACUAUGGACAUUUUUUUCUUGCAGGCUUCCAAAAUUUUUAAUCUUAUCAAUUAUCCCCCAGAAUAUAAUAAAAAUGAUUGUUUAAACUCAAAAACACCUAAAGGUACUAGGUAUCCAGAACUACUUUAAUUCAGUUUGAAGUUUGAGAUGAUUUGAAAUUAAGCAUCAGUUUGUAGAAGAGCUACACUACACAUUGCUCACCCAAGUUUUCCCUCUAGUCUUAAGAGAAAUAAGACUGACUGCUUAGAGUCUAAAACACUGAGCUACCUCUUUCAGAGUAAGCCAAUGUUCCUCAGGAGAGAGUGGCAACAAACACCAGCCAUCUUUAGAUAUUUACCCUUCAAAUCUUGACCUUGUAACUUUUCAUGGCUUUGUCAGCUCUACAUGUUUUUAAGCAAUUUUUUUAUUUCAUCCAGUUUUUUAAAGCUGUGUUCAACUAUGAAAAUAGGGUCAAAUGACCUAAUCUGUUAUAACCAAAACUGUAAAUUUGAAUCAUUUUAAAACUCUCUAAACAAUAACAUCAAGACAAAAGAUCUUUAUAAACCUUUCUAAUUUUCAGAUGAUACAUUUCUAAUAAAUGGAAAAAAAUAUUUCUACAGAAUGGAAAAAGCAUGAAUUUUUUGAAUAAAAUUUUAAAAAUUUUCAUCAAAUAACUCAGAGGCUACUUUAAAGUGAUAGCUUUUUCCCUGUUUACAAAGAUGCAUAUUAAAAUACAACUAAAUAUCAAUAUAAAGUUGUACCUCUUUGCUUUAUUAGGUCUUGAGGCCUAAAUUGUCAAUGUAGCAACAGAACAAUAAAAAACCUUGUAGUUUUAAGUAGGCUCCAUGGGACUUAAACUCACAACCCUAAGAAGACCUGUGCUAAAAUUAAGAGUGGAAGCUUAACUGCCACUCAGGUGCCCCACGAAAAUUUUUAUGUAAAUUGCAGGGGAUCCCUGGGUGGCUCAGUGGUUUAGCACCUGCCUUUUGCCCAGGCUGUGAUCCUAGAGUCUCGGGAUCAAGUCCCACAUCAGGCUCCGUGCAUGGAGCCUGGUUUUCUCCUUGCCUUUGUCUCUUUCUCUGUGUCUCUCAUGAACAAAUAAAUAAAACCUUAAAAAAAAAAAAGAAAAAAAUAAUGUAAAUUGCAUACAUUAAAAAUAUUGCAGUCAUGUGCCCAAAUGUAUCUGUAAACAUAACUUCUUUGUAAUAUCUAUAAUACACACAUUUUAAAUAUUACAUAUUUAUUAAUAAUUUUCUAGUCUCUCUGUGUCUGCCUAAAAGCUCUAGUAGUCACUAAAAUUCAUGAACUAAAAAAGUCUGAGGUUUUCCAUAUUCAAGUGUCAGAAUCAUGUGAGAGUAUAAGCCUCAAUCAUUAUCCUUUCCAAGGUAUCUGGUGUGUCCUUGUUGUCUUUUGAGACAAUAACUAAAUAGGGAUUAACCUUUGCAAAGUAUAUAGUCCUUUUAUGGUUCAUAGAAAAAUCACCUCUGGUUGUGUUCAAUUCCAUCUUGGUCACCAACAUACUGAGUCAAGCUGUGUUUAGUAAUAUACUCAGUGGCCCCGGCCUAUUGGACAAAGUUCCUAUGUUAGGAUUUGGUAAAAAGGCCAUACUUGGAGAAAUGAUGCUCAGCGUCUUUCACUUGUGGCUCUAGCCCUUGAAAGGAAAGGUAUUGUUUCCUCUUUCUCUUUCAAUGUCUAGGUUCUCUUUUUCCUUUUUUUUCUAAUCAGUCACUCCAUGUUCUCUUCUAUAUGCAGGUCCACUCUUAUCUUAGGCUGCUCUGUAAGCAUAUGGCUGAAUCUUUCAUACUUAAAUGUAAACCUUUGUUUCUACUUAUCUACAAACAUACUGAAGGGAAUAACAUGGCUUUGGAAGAUAAUAUGAAGAAGGUGAGGAAAAAAACAGAAAACACAUAUUAAUAUUUAGAGAUAUAAUCCCAUCAUGGACCAUAUCAUAUUUAUGCACCUAAAAAUCAAAAAGACAGAAAAAUAACCUUAAUUUUAUGCUUUUCUGUGCCAGACAACAUAGAAAAGGUAUUCACAUUUGUAAGAACCACAGUCUGUUAAGACAGAUGUUUAUAGAUGAGGAAACUAAACUUCAGCGAAAUUCAUUGAUUUGCCAAUGUCAUGUAGUAAGUAAGAGAAACAGUCAUGUUUUAAAUCCAGGUCUUGCUGGCUUCUAAGCAACCUCUUUCUUCUAUUUCAUUCUUAUACUUCUGUAGGAGAUAUAAAAAUCCACAUGUCUUAAUCUUUGCCUUUUCUCAUUUUAGAUGUUAUAUAUGACUUCCUUCUCACAGACUAAAAUAAUUCUCUACUGGCCCAAAAAACUGAAGAUAAAAAUUUUCCACAGGCAAUUAGUUAAUCUAUAAAAAAUUCAAUAAAUAUUAGGUAUUUAAAUUGGGUUACAUUAGGACUCUUUUUUCUUAUCCUAUUCCCUAUGAUCCAGCUAUAAGAAGGCUAAAUAUGGGUUGGUCCUUCUCCUAAUCCACUAUGUCCAUCAUUUCAAAUGAUUACCUUCACCAGCAUACCUAAGUUGCUGUAUAGAUGUUAUUUAAAUAGGAUUGUUGGACAAGUAAGAAGAGAAAGUCUUGUGUAAAGGAAUGAGCUAAUAAAGAAGAAUACUGAUCAUAUUUACAUUAAUAAGCAUUGAUUAUUGGCCAGGCAAUUUCCAGAAAGCUAUAUGUGUAUUACCUAAUUAGUAAUGAUAUAGGUCAUUAAAUCUUUGCCUUAAUUUCAAGAAAUAGGUAUCAUAGUGUUUUCACUUUAUAGAUGAUAAUAAAAAAUGGAAAAGGCAGAAGAGUAGUUUUCCUGUUGUGACAACUUUAAGUAGUUUAAAAUUUUAAUUUGGCUACUUUCCAAUUUUAAUUGUUUGUGCUUUAGAUGAGCGCUUCCAAAACCUCAGGGUACACCUGAAUCAUCUGGGGAUCUUAUUAAAAUGCAGGUUCUGAUUACCAGGUGGGAUCUGAGAUUCUGUAUGCAAACACACUCCCCCAGACUGUACUUUGAAAAACAAAGCUUUUUGGAUUACUGAUUUUUCCAUCAAAGUGUCAUUCGUAAAGGGCUGACUUUAUAACAGUUGAAAAUUAACUGAGUAUUAACAUUUAGUUUAUUAAAUAAAUGUUGAUGACCAGAUAUAUUCCUAAAUCAAAAGACUGUUUUCACAAAGGCAAAUGUUCAAUGUAGACAGAAAAAUUUAAGAGGACAUAACUCCAUUUCCCCCUCCCUUGGUAUGUUUUAUAUGUACAAAAAGUACACUGGCAUAUGUACCCUAUCUCAAUAAAAAUGGUCAUUGUUUAUAAAACAUUUACUAUGUGCCUCAGACUAUUCUAAGAGCUUUAAGUAAGUAUAUUAUUUUAUUCAGUGCUGUAAGUAAUAUGAACUGCUAUUAUUAUCCGAAUUUUAUAGAGAGAGGAAUAGAAGCAACAACAGUUUAACUGCCCAAUGUUGCAAGCACUGACUAAUUUCAGGGUUUUCUGAUUCAAUCUUAAUUUUGCAUUUCAUGUCAUCUCUCUGAAUUUUGCCUUAUACCACUCUCACUGUGUAUUCGUGCUCUGUACUUUGCCUCCGAUGUGAAGCCUAGAGAUCCUGCAGAAUUAGUAUCCAGGCUUGGAGGUCAAGGUGAGGGUUUUACAGUGUAGAUUCAGACAAAGAAAAGAACUAGCAUUCUGCAGGAACAGAAUCAAAGUCAUAGGCUCAGACAGGAUUAUGUCCUAUCUAAGGUGACAGCUAAGAAUGCCUUGGCAAAGGUUCAAAGAAGCAAAAAUAAAAAUAAAAAUAAAAGAAUGAGUGACAGAAACAGAAUAUGGCCGAAUCCAGAGUGCAGAAAGGUCGAGUACAUGAAGUUGGUUAUAAUAAGAAUCAAGACACAAAUAAUAGAGUAUCGGUGGCCCGUGUGAACUGGCUGCUGACUCUGUAAUCCAACAGCACACCUGAUGAUUGAUAACAGACUAUAAAAGAAUAGAUAAUUAUGAACUCUGUACUUCAUGACUAUGAAUCUGGCUUUCUAUCCUAUCAAUAUCUCCAGGGACUGGCUUGACGUUCUGGCUUUAUACAAAUGCUGGUCAAUGUUCCCAAUCAGACACUGCCCUAUGAACUACUGAGUUGGUUCUAGCCUUGUCUUAGCUCUCUACAAUCACGAAUUUAGUGGCUUUAAAUGCUAAACAAUGUAUUACUUUACAGUUUUAUAGGUCAGAACUCUGGUGGGAUCUAGAGUCAGAUUCCUUUUUCUUGCUCAUUCAGGUUGUUAGCAGAGUUCAGUUCCCUUCAGUUGUAGAAUUAAGGUAUCAAUUGCUUUGCUGUUUGUCAGCGGAGGGCCAUUCCAAGCUUCUGGAGAUUACCUGCAUUCCUUGGCGCAUAGCCACUGUCUUUCAUCUUCAAAGCCAGUAACAGCAGAUAGAAUUAGUCUCAUGCCUCUUCUUUUGUCCUAGCUCUGUCUCUCUAUAUACCUGGACCUUGCCAGGAAAAAGUGUUGCUUUUAAGGACUUAAUGUGAUUAGAUUGGGCCCACCUGAGUAAUCCAGGCUACCCUCCCCAUUCCAAGGUCUGUAAUCUUAAUCACACCUGCAAAACUCCCUUUUUACUGUACAAGUUCGUGUAUUCAUAGGUUGCAAGAAUUAAGACAUGAACAUUUUUGGGAGACAAUUAUUCUAACAGAAGCCUACUAUGUAACAUUGGCUUAUUUUAGUUGGGUUUAUUAGUUGCAAAAAGAGAAUAAACUAGGUACAUUGGAGUAGGAAUUCAUUAGAUGAGAUAAACUAGACCUCGGAAGUCCCAGGAGGGCCAGACAACUGAGUUUAUAGAGUAAGCCAACAGAAACAAUAUCCAAACCACACCACCAAACUACUCACAGGUCUGAUUCUAACAGAGGCAUUUUAAACCAUGAACAUGAAUUCUUACCCUUGGCAAUCCUGUCACAGGUGCUUCUCAGACUCAAUGUCUUUGCCAAACCCUGCCAUACUCACCAGGUAUGAUUUCCUUCAAAAAAAAAAAAAAAAAAAAAA